rnacentral:misc_RNA from 1 species
GGCAAUUGAAGAAUAGGCCCACAAGAUGCAACUCUGACUCAAAAAGGCCCAGAACAACAAACCAGGUUUUUACUUAGAAAGCAGGAACCGGAUCCACUGGGAACCAAGGCCCAUGCCCACCAAACCCUUAAGCCUUUCAUCACCUGUGGGCUGUGGCCGUGGGUACCUCCACGACCACAAAUACACCCACCAGGUCUGAUGACUUCCGGG